AUGUUCAUCAUAGCGUCAGACAAUAACACUGAUGAAUACGCUGAUUCGAUGAGCGAGUUCAUUAGCAAGUGCAUAGGUGAUGUUGUACCCACAGCAUCUAUUAAAACAUUCCCCAACCAGAAACUGUGGAUUGAUGGCAGCAUUCGCGCAAAACUGAAAGCGCGAACCACUGCUUUUAAUCAGGGCAAGGUGAACGGAAACAUGACCGAAUACAAACAGUGUAGUUAUUCCCUCAGCAAGGCAAUCAAACAAGCUAAGCGUCAGUAUAGAGACAAAGUAGAGUUGCAAUUCAACAGCUCAGACACGAGAGGUAUGUGGCAGGGUCUACAGUCAAUCACGGACUACAAAAGGAAAACCAGCCCCGUCACGGACCACGAUGUCUUGCUCCCAGACAAACGUAACAACUUCUUUGCUCGCUUUAAGGACAACACAGUGCCACUGACACGGCCCGCUACCAAAACCUGCGGGCUCUCCUUCACUGCAGCCAACGAGAGUAAAACAUUUAAAUGUGUUAACCCUUGCAAGGCUGCCAGCCCAGACGGCAUCCCCAGCCGCGUCCUCAGAGCAUGCGCUGACCAGCUGGCUGGUGUGUUUACGGACAUAUUCAAUCAAUCCUUAUCCCAGUCUGCUGUUCCCACAUGCUUCAAGAGGGACACCAUUGUUCCUGUUCCCAAGAAAGUGAAGGUAACUGAGCUAAAUGACUAUUGCCCCGUAGCACUCACUUCAAUCAUCAUGAAGUGCUUUGAGAGACGAGUCAAGGACCAUAUCACGUCCACCCUACCUGACACCCUAGACCCACUCCAUUUUGCUUACCGCCCCAAUAGGUCCACAGACGACGCAAUCGCAAUCACAUUGCACACUGCCCUAACCCAUCUGGACAAGAGGAAUACCUAUGUAAGAAUCCUGUUCAUCGACUACAGCUCAGCAUUUAACACCAUAGCAUCCUCCAAACUCGUCAUUAAGCUCGAGACCCAGGGUCUCGACUCCGGCCUGUGCAACUGGGUCCUGGACUUCCUGACGGGCCACCCCCAGUGCGUUCUCAGCCCUCUCCUGUACUCCCUGUUCACCCAUGACUGCGUGGCCAUGCACGCCUCCAACUCAAUCAUCAAGUUUGCAGACGACACAACAGUGGUAGGCUUGAUUACCAACAACGACGAGACAGCCUACAGGGAGGAGGUGAGGGCCCUCGGAGUGUGGUGUCGGGAAAAUAACCUCACACUCAAUGUCAACAAAACAAAGAAGAUGAUCGUGGACUUCAGGAAACAGAAGAGGGAGCAGCCCCCUAUCCACAUCAACAGGACAGUAGUGGAGAAGGUGGAAAGUUUUAAGUACCUCGGCGUACACAUCACGGACAAACUGAAAUGGUCCACCCACACAGACAGUGUGGUAAUGAAGGCGCUGCAGCGCCUCUUCAACCUCAGGAGGCUGAAGAAAUUUGUCUUGUCACCAAAAACACUCACAAACUUUUACCAAAUGUAG
rnacentral:lncRNA from 1 species